rnacentral:misc_RNA from 1 species
AAGUCGUAACAAGGUCUCCGUAGGUGAACCUGCGGAGGGAUCAUUAACACGUUUAUUUCACUAUAAACGUAUCUAUACCAAAUCAAUAGAAAUGAAAGUAGAGACCAAUAAAGAUAGUAAUAUCAUUAUGAAUCAAUACUUAGUUACUCUCCCUAGCUAUACUAUUUAUUUAGUAUACUUAGGCUAUUUUCCUUUUAUAAACCCUUUUCCAACACUGUAAUAAUCAUCCAUUGACUUAUAUGUGAGUAUACAUGUAUACUCUUACAUUGAUAUUUUAAAUGUUAAAAGCACAACUCUUAGCAACGGAUAUCUUGGUUCUC